UAUAAUUUUUUUUUAAAAGUUGGUUUAAUAUUCUUUGACUAUAGAGCUACUACAUAUGAGAAAACAUUUCAAUCAGAUUUCCAUGAUCAGCGCCAGCAUUAAUAAUUUUUAAAUAUUAAAUAACGAUCCAAGUUAAGUGAUAAACUGGAGUGAAACCAUACAGAAUUUAAUAAUCUUCAUAAGAUUAUCCACCGCUAUGACAACAAGCCGCCUUAACUUUUCUUUACGCUUAGCUGCCCAAGACUCAAAAUAAAUGGAUGGUCUUUGUAUGUAAACAAAGUUGUUUACUCCUAAAGCUCAACAAGCUUCAGUCUAAAGGGUUUCACUCAUCUCAUUAAACGUCUAAUUAAAUUCAGGUCAAUUCUAAUCACCCAGCUCUCUCUAUGGAAAUUGGAAAGAUACUUGAAAUGGGUUAUAAUUGCUUAACCUGCUAAAUUGCAUCAUUAUUUUAAGUUCACAUGAGUUUGUCAUCUUUGACCGUAGUGUCAUUUACCUUUCAAUGCUUGAGAUCUUUAUAAACAAACUGUUCUCAGUACCGGGAUUUUGUUAAAUUAAUCAUAUUUGUCACGUGUUGCUAUCAACAAUCCAUCUUUUAUUUGAAAAAAUUUUAACGACCACAAAGAGACAGGCCAACACUUAACAAUCAUGGCUAAGCAGUUGAAAAUUACGGCUUUCAUGAAGGCUAAACCGAAAUUGGAGGUGAAAACAGAUGAACUUGGAGUGAUUACUAUUGAUGACAGUUCAAUGUUUCGUAAAUUUGAAGAGGAUGAUUUUGUUGAAGAUUAUGGAAACACUACUAAGCGUAAAAAGCAAGGACCUGUUAAAUCUGCCAUUAAAGAAGAAACACGGAAUGGACCAAGAUUGUGCCCUUUUUAUAAAAAAAUACCCGGAACCAAAUUCGCUGUUGAUGCCUUUAAUUUUGGUCUAAUACCUGGAAUACAAUUUUAUUUUCUCACUCAUUUUCACUCGGAUCAUUACAAUGGUUUGAGAAAGUCUUUUGUUGGAACAAUUGUUUGCAGUUCAAUCACAGCCAAACUCGUGAUGAGUCAAAUUGGAGUUGCUGAGAAUCAGUUUAUUAUCGUUGAUCCCCACCAGCCAACCAUGAUUGACGGUUCUAAUGUGAUUGCUGUCGAUGCCUUUCAUUGUCCUGGUGCAGUUAUGUUUCUGAUGAUUAUGCCAAAUGGCAAAAGAAUACUACAUACCGGAGAUUUCAGAGCUUCGCCUGAAAUGGAAAAGGACGUUUAUCUAAUUGAAAAACCAAUCGAUUCAAUAUACCUUGAUACAACUUAUUGUGAUCCUAAUUAUAAAUUCCCAGCCCAAAGUGAGACUUUAAAAGCCAUUCAAAACAUUACACUUAACCAUCUCAAAAUACACAAGAAAACCUUGAUUGUCUGCGGAACUUAUAGUAUUGGAAAAGAGAAGGUGUUCAAAAUAAUUUGUAGCUCUUUAAAGUCAAAUGUUUGGGUAUCAUCAGCAAAAUUAAGGCUCAUUAAAUGUAUAGAUGAUCCAGAAAUCAACUCAUAUCUAGUUCAUGAGAAAAGUAAAGCCCAAGUUCAUGUUUUACCAAUGAGAGAUAUUAAUCACCAGGCUCUUCGUGAUUAUCUCAAACAAUAUGGUGAAAAAUAUACCUCAUUAUUAGCAUUCAAGCCUACUGGCUGGACAGAAGGUGGAAAAUCUUUAAGUGAACUAAAACCAAAUGUGAAGGAAAAUGUUACCAUAUAUGGUGUUCCGUACAGUGAGCAUUCGAGUUACUCCGAGCUAGAGCGGUUCAUCAAAUUUUUUAAACCCAAGCAAAUCAUACCAACCGUCAAUGUAGGGAAUCCAAAGAAGAGAGAAAGUAUGUUCAAAAUUUUUGCUGAUUGGAGAUCAGAAAAAUGAAGAUUGGGCCUAACCUGACGACCUAUGAAAUCGGUAUUUACAGUUAAGCAUUCUGAGAGUGUCAUCAGCAUCGAUUUCGGGAUAAAUUGUGCCCAGUUCAAAAAUAGUUGUUUUAAAUACUCUUCAUUUAUUGACAUUUCAAUAAAUAUUGACACCAUAUUGUUGUUUCAGAAACUUUUGUAAACUCAAAUUAAUAAAAUUUCUUGACUACUUCCACUUUUGUAGAAAUUUUAAUUGGAUAUUGCGAAAAGUCAAGCUUCAAAAUGAAUUCAAAGAUUUAAUUUUUGUAUAAAUAUUAGUUUUUUACUCGACGAGUAAUUUCCCGAUUUGAAUUUAACAUCAAACUCAAGUUUGUGGCUCCAUCACUCGACAAAUGAUUACCAAAGUUACAUAUGUUUUGAAAAGAUUUCUCUCUUUAAUUUGUACAUUCAAUUUUGAAUUAUUAAAGGCAAUUUACUUUAUAUUUGUUUCUGGGAUGAUUUUUGAUUUUUCUCUCAUUCCUAUUCAAAGUUAAAGGUUUUUGUAUUCUGUUCAAUGGAAUAUCACCAAUUCUCUGCACCCAUGGACGAACAAUCAGAAAAUUGGCCAAUUGAUUUGAAACUAUUUCAUCCCAUACCUGAAUACUUAUUUCUACAUGAGAAAGCUAAUUGUAUUAGUGUUGAAGCCAUCCUUAAGAUGUGUGGUUUGUCUUUUGAGAUUGAAUACCGGCCUAAUGCAGAAUACAUGUCGCCCACAGGUGAUGUACCUUUCAUAAAAACAGGAAACACAUUAAUUUCUGGAAUCGAAGCAAUAAUUGAUUUUGCAAAGUCCUAUGACAAAAGCUUUACGAAGAGAAGUGAAGAAAUUGAACGCGAUACUAGAGUUUAUAUGAACCAUUUUCACCAAGUUUUAACAGAUGCUGAGUUAUAUUUCAUCUGGUGCCAUGAAAAGAUAGUCCAAGAAUAUACAUAUCCAAGAUACGUUUCGAAAUACCCAUGGCCUUUAAGUUCUAUACUCUAUUAUAG